rnacentral:rRNA from 1 species
UACGUAGGUGGCAAGCGUUGUCCGGAAUUAUUGGGCGUAAAGCGCGCGCAGGUGGUUUCUUAAGUCUGAUGUGAAAGCCCACGGCUCAACCGUGGAGGGUCAUUGGAAACUGGGGAACUUGAGUGCAGAAGAGGAAAGUGGAAUUCCAAGUGUAGCGGUGAAAUGCGUAGAGAUUUGGAGGAACACCAGUGGCGAAGGCGGCCCCCUGGUUCGGAUACUGACGCUGAGACGCGAAAGCGUGGGGAUCAAACAGG